GACGAUUUUUGCCGAAGGCAGGCGAGCGCUUCGGAGCGGACUCGUUUUUUUCCGCCAGUCUUGGCGGAAGCCUGAGACGCAAUAGAUGGAGACUCUCCUUUUCGCCUUGGCGUACUCUUUUUUUUUUUUUCCUCCCUGGUAAGAUGCCAACGCCUGUUGAAUGAAUUAAGCACGUUUUAGUGGGAUUUAAGUCCGGCCUCGCAGAAGUUGAUUGAUUGCAUUAUUUUCUAGGAGCUGGUCUUGUGGGGCAGCCCUAAAAUGUAUCUCCAAGUGACCCUGCACUCAUCACUUGCUGCCUUGGACUUAGUUUCCUCAUUCGUAGAAUGGAGACACCACACUUUCUGAAGUGCUUAUGAGACUUGCAGGAGGAAGUUCUUGCUGCAUCCUGUGAACUGCUGGAACUUGCUGAUUGCACUUCAUAGACAAUUCCCCAAAGCCUGCAUUUGCAAAGCUGGCCUUUUCCAUUUGGAACACUCCUAGCAGCUACCAGUGCCACCCUCCCCACAGCCUCUCUGGCAAAAGAGAAGACCAUGUGAAGACAAAGAGAAAGCAGCUGGCCAUCAGUAAGCCAAGGAGGGAGGCUUCAGAAGAAACUGAACCUGCCGACACCUUGACCUUGGACUUCUAGUCCCCAGAACGCUUUUUUUCCCAAGGCAAUUUUCCCCAGAAGAUGGUAUAAUACAAUAGAAUUGAAAGAAACAUAUCUGAUUCCAACAGUCCACCUCUUUCAUACCAGCAGUGCAAGCCUCAGGAUGUUCCAUCUGCCCUACUUGAAUGCCUGAAGCCCUUCUUUCUCCAAUGACCCUGAGGAAAAUCUUGAAGGCGUUUCUUAGUCUGUGGAUUUUUUCUCCACAAGGGUAUAAAAUAAGAAGAUGAGGGAAAUAACCUUAACUGAAUACAUGGUGAUAUGGUUUGUCUGUGUCUCCACCCAAAUCUCAUCUGGAAUUGUAGCUCUCAUAAUUGGGAGAUAAUUGAAUCAUGGGGGCAGUUUUCCCCACACUGUUGUCUUGGUAGUGAAUAAGUCUCAUGAGAUCUGAUGAUUUUAUAAGCGGUUUCCCCUUUCACUUGGCUCUCAUUCUCUCUUGCCACCACCAUGUAAGACGUGCCUUUCACUUUCCACCAUGAUUGUGAGGCCUCCCCAGCCACGUAGAACUGUGAGUCUAUUAAACCUCUUUUUCUUUAUAAAUUACCCAGUCUCGGGUGUGUCUUUAUCAGCUGCAUGGAAACGGACUAAUACACAUGAAUAGCACGU
rnacentral:lncRNA from 10 species